CUCACAACCAUCUGUUGUAGUGAGAGAUCCAACUAGCCACACCUGUGGCACUGACCAUGCCCAUUUGAGCGUGGUCACAGGUGUGUAUGUGAGCCUGUGGGAUUUGGUCUGGGGUUCAGGACAGGCUUGAGCUCUCUUGGUUCCAGUCUCUCCCGCCCUGCACCCUCCUGUCCUUUGGUUCGAUUUGUAGUUGUUGUGACAGUGUACUCCAGGGCUAAGAGACCUCACCAUUCCCAGAGUGUAUCACAACUUAGUGAGACCCUAUAUCCCAAAUGAACUAGAAACUGGAUAAGAUGACUCAGAAGUUAGAACAUUUGCUACCCUUCCAGAGGACCUGAUUUUGAUUCAGAGCACCUACCUGGGGAGGCUCAAACUACUUGUAACAUUCUUUAGGGGCUCUCAAGUCCUCUUCUGACCUUUUUAGGUACCUUUACAUGCACAGGCAUACAUGUGCAUGCUCUCUCUCUCUCUCUGUCUCUCUCUCUCUCUCUCACACACACACACACACACACAUAUACACACACACUGAUACACAUCUACACGCAAAUAAAAAGAAUAAAUAAAUUAAAAAAACCCCAGGACUAUAACUCAGCAUUAAUCUAGCAUGUGUGAGGCCCUGGCUUCAAUCCUCAUUUUAGGGGCUGAGAGUUGACAAAGAGGAAGGGGAGGAGGUAUUUGAGAUGUGAGCUACCCUUCUUGAAGCCGUUCCUUCUCCACAGCCUGAGGAAUGUUUCUUUCUCAUCACUUUACCUGCAGUGUUGACAUACCCUCUUUUCUGGAGAAAACUUUGAUCUUAUUUAUGACCCUCUGACUAGAGGAAUUCAGAGCUCAGUCCUUCCAGCCUGACCAGGUCUUUAAAGGGAGAAUGGGCCUGAGCUGCUGAUGGAUGCCAGUAUUGAGUGCUGAUCUGAAGACAUCUUAAUAACUAUGGUCCCCUCAUCUGCCAUCAUUACACCAGGAACCCUUUGAGAGCCGUGCUACAUGUGGUUAAGGCUAACUGAGCAUUCUACUGAAAUUUUACUAUGUGAAGUUCUGUUUUGCCAUUUCAACCAAUUUUUCUCUGCUUUCUUUGACGGCUGGAGAAAGGAAGUGGGGAAUGGUUUUCCCAUUUUGGUCUGCUUAGUCCCGUGGAGAGUUUGAUUUGUGGCUAGUGUUUGAAAGACAAGAAAGAACCCGUUGUUCAGAUAUCCCUCCUGAUUUGACCAAAUAACUUUGAGGAAGUACUUCAUUUGGUUUCACUCAUUUGGGGUGUGUGUGUGUGUGUGUGUGUGUGUGUGUGUAUGUGAGAGAGAGAGAGAGAGAGAGAGAGAGAGAGAGAGAGAGAGAGAGAGAGAGAGAGAGAAUAUUGAGGGCUCAGUGAGUAAAGCUCAUGACCUGGGUUUGAUCCCAUGUGGUGGAAGGAGCUCUGAGUUUUAUAAUCUCCCCAUGGCAUCAAAUAAAUAAAUUUAAUAAAAAUUAGGGUGAUCAAGACAGGACAGGUUUUUAUUCACUCCAGCUUAGGCAAGCCUUAAACCUUCAAUUCUUCUGCCUGUGCCCUUUGAGUAUCUGGGAUUACAGAUACUUUGUGAUACCUAUAUACAUACAUACAUAAUCUUGCUGGGUGGUGGUGGCACACGCCUUUAAUCCCAGCACUCAUGAGGUAGAGGCAGGUGGAUCUCUGAGUCAAGCCUUGGAGUGGUAUCUUGUUCUGCCAGUGGACUUGGAAUGGCUAUCUCCAAAGAGAGUUCCUGUACAGCCAGGACUACACAGAAAAACCCUGUCACCAAAAAACAAAACAAACAAAAAAAAUUAUACCUCAGUCAAACUAAUGAAUGAUUUAGUACAUGGAAUGCCAGUAGUUUGUUGACAUUAUAAAAAAAUACUGGAUUCUAAAAAAAAAGGUUAAAGAGAAAGUACAUGUUUUACAUAAUCAAAUAGAGGGUUUUUUCUAAUAAAUGUUGGAAAUGUUCAGAUUUCCUUCAGUCUGUUAUGGCAGGAAAAGCCUUUUGUUGUUACUGUCCUCAGAAUGCCUUCUGAAUGUCUCCAUCACUUGACACACGGGAUUUUCUCGAGGAAUUACAGUGGGGGUAUAUAGAUUAUUUUGCUUUAGAAAAUUAAAGUACCUGUUAAGGUACUUUCUUUCUCCCUCUGUGCUCCUUCCCCAACUUGGGCUCACAGAUUGUGUUCUGUUGGGACAUUGUCUCAUGUAGCCUAGGCUGGCCUUAGACUUGCCCUGUGGCCAAGGAUGAACUGAACUUCUGAUCCUUGUUCCUCCACCUCCCAAGUUCUGGACAGAUGUCUUGAAUAUGGCAGUGCCCUGUAUCCCUUCUUAGGAGGAAUCUGUAUCUGGAGGGCAGGCUAGAUUACAGAAGGAACAGUUCCCCUGCUGUCAGGGUGUGGCCAUGUUAUUUUGUCCUUUGCAGAGUUCUUGCUGUCUAAGAAAGAAGGUUUUUAGAUUUUGAGUGAGCUGGUCUUUGGCAGUGAGAAAGGUGGGUCUGCUUCUCAUGCCUGACUGGUCAGGAUCAUGACAGCCAGGAGAAAGGGGGCUCUCUUGCCAUGGAUUUCUGGAGUUCUUUGGGAGAGUGACAAUCCAUAGCCACAAUGGCCAAGAUGCUACUGACUCAUCUGGUCCCCUUGAUUGGGCUUUGUGACUGUUAAAGGGAAGGGACUUAGAAUCAGUCAAAGGAAACCAGUGAGGAAUGGAAAGCUGCUGAGGUCUAUCAGGGAUAGCAGGAGUAGAGGUGAGGCUAAGUAGAUAAGGACUAAUCAGAAGCCCGACAGCAGGUGGGCGUGGGCAGAGAGGAGGCCUUCAGUCAGUCAAGAGCUAUUGGGGAAGUCACAGUCAUUCCUCAGGUUCCAGGACCCACCUUUGACCUUAUUUUGUUUUUUGUAGACAAAAGGAAUUAAGAAAAUGGCUCCAUAAGUUGGCAUUUGCAUGUCUGUCUUGUCCCCAGAUGUGGUCAGUUCUGAGUACAACUUUCAUUUCAAAGAUGGCAUAUCAGCCAGACUGAGCCAUUCACUUGCCUGCCCAGAGUUAAGAACUAUGAUGUCUCAGGGGCACACCUGCUAUACAGAUGAUGGCAAGAUCAGUUGCAAGAAACACAUCGAAAUGGAAGACAGUAUGUCCUGAAGGGCCAAGUCAAUCUGUCACCAGCUGACCUAGGGAUUACAGCUGUGAGCCACUGUAUCCAGUUCAUACUGGAGCUGGUUCUCUUGGGCAGUAAGGACAGAGCCUGUGUGGAUCAUAAACUAGUUAUGGAACACUGGUGACCCCUCCCUUGGGUGGACAUAACUGAGGAAUUGUGGUCUCUUUCCUGUUUCAUCACCUGAUGUGCUGCUCAGAGAUGUUCAAGAAAAGAUGACCUCAGGCUCCGUCUGAUUACCACCAUAAAAGCUAUAAAAGACCACUGGGCAGGGCAGCUGGACAGUGUGGAGCCCUUCCCACACUUGGGAAUUCUUUCUCACGUUUCUUUAAUAAAACUGUCAUUCAUUCUGCUCA